CCUACGGGGGGCUGCAGUGGGGAAUAUUGCACAAUGGGCGCAAGCCUGAUGCAGCCAUGCCGCGUGUGUGAAGAAGGCCUUCGGGUUGUAAAGCACUUUCAGCGGGGAGGAAGGCGUUAAGGUUAAUAACCUUGGCGAUUGACGUUACCCGCAGAAGAAGCACCGGCUAACUCCGUGCCAGCAGCCGCGGUAAUACGGAGGGUGCAAGCGUUAAUCGGAAUUACUGGGCGUAAAGCGCACGCAGGCGGUCUGCCAAGUCGGAUGUGAAAUCCCCGGGCUCAACCUGGGAACUGCAUUCGAAACUGGCAGGCUAGAGUCUUGUAGAGGGGGGUAGAAUUCCAGGUGUAGCGGUGAAAUGCGUAGAGAUCUGGAGGAAUACCGGUGGCGAAGGCGGCCCCCUGGACAAAGACUGACGCUCAGGUGCGAAAGCGUGGGGAGCAAACAGGAUUAGAUACCCUAGUAGUC
rnacentral:rRNA from 1 species